CCGGGGCCUUGUGGCCCCGGCCCUUAACCCGACCGUUCCGCGGUGGAACGCUGGUGACAAGUCCAGCAACGGGGAGUCAAGGG
rnacentral:ribozyme from 1 species